rnacentral:rRNA from 1 species
GACAGAGGGUGCAAGCGUUGUUCGGAAUUAUUGGGCGUAAAGGGCGCGUAGGCGGCUGAGCAAGUCGAAUGUGAAAUCCCUGGGCUUAACCCAGGAAGUGCAUUUGAUACUGCUCAACUUGAGUCCCGGAGAGGGUGGUGGAAUUCCCAGUGUAGAGGUGAAAUUCGUAGAUAUUGGGAGGAACACCGGUGGCGAAGGCGACCACCUGGACGGAGACUGACGCUGAGGCGCGAAAGCGUGGGGAGCAAACAGGAUUAGAUACCCUGGUAGUCCACGCUGUAAACGAUGGGUACUAGAUGUCGCGGGUAUUGACCCCUGCGGUGUCGACGCUAACGCAUUAAGUACCCCGCCUGGGAAGUACGGCCGCAAGGCUAAA